rnacentral:rRNA from 2 species
UGCGAUCGAUAUAAGUCAUAACGACUCUCGGCAACGGAUAUCUCGGCUCUCGCAUCGAUGAAGAACGUAGCGAAAUGCGAUACGUGGUGUGAAUUGCAGGAUCCCGUGAACCAUCGAGUUUUUGAACGCAAGUUGCGCCCGAAGCCAUCAGGCCGA